GAUGAACGCUGGCGGCGUGCCUAAUACAUGCAAGUCGAGCGAACGGACGAGAAGCUUUCUUCUUUGAUGUUAGCGGCGGACGGGUGAGUAACACGUGGGUAACACACCUUUAAGACUGGGAUAACCUCGUGAAACCGGUGCUAAUACCGGCAGAUAUUCUCAACCGCAUGGUUCAAAAGUGAAAGACGGUCUUGCUGUCACUGAGAGAUGGUUCCGGGCUGCAUUAGCUAGUUGGUAAGGUAACGGCUUACCAAGGCAACGAUGCAUAGCUGAUCUGAGAGGGUGACCAGCCACACUGGAACUGAGACACGGUCCAGACUCCUACGGGAGGCAGCAGUGGGGAAUAUUGCGCAAUGGGCGAAAGCCUGACGGAGCCACGCCGCGUGUAUGAAGAAGGUCUUCGGGUCGUAAAGUACUGUUAGUGGGGAGGAACGGAUUUGUGUGAAAACCUGCACAUAUUGACGGUACCUGAUGAAAAAGCCACGGCUAACUACGUG
rnacentral:rRNA from 1 species